CCCCCCCCCAUCACCCAGGGACAGAGAGUGUGCAAUAACUAUCCAUGGAGGAGUUGUCACCAAUCACAUCCUCUGAGACACAGGCACCUGAGAAUGAAAACACUCAAAAUGUUUCAAAAACAUCACAAACUGUGUCUCAACAUUCUGGAAAACUGACUGCUGAGAGUGAAAAGAAUCUAGCUUCAG